GCGGGCUGGCUGAUCGGCGUGGCCGGGCCGCCGCUGCUGGCCCUGCUGCUGACCGGGUUCAGCGGCCCGGGGCUCUCC
rnacentral:tRNA from 1 species